rnacentral:rRNA from 1 species
AUUGAACGCUGGCGGCAGGCCUAACACAUGCAAGUCGAACGGUAACAGGAAGCAGCUUGCUGCUUCGCUGACGAGUGGCGGACGGGUGAGUAAUGUCUGGGAAGCUGCCUGAUGGAGGGGGAUAACUACUGGAAACGGUAGCUAAUACCGCAUAAUGUCGCAAGACCAAAGAGGGGGACCUUCGGGCCUCUUGCCAUCGGAUGUGCCCAGAUGGGAUUAGCUUGUUGGUGGGGUAACGGCUCACCAAGGCGACGAUCCCUAGCUGGUCUGAGAGGAUGACCAGCCACACUGGAACUGAGACACGGUCCAGACUCCUACGGGAGGCAGCAGUGGGGAAUAUUGCACAAUGGGCGCAAGCCUGAUGCAGCCAUGCCGCGUGUAUGAAGAAGGCCUUCAGGUUGUAAAGUACUUUCAGCGGGGAGGAAGGGAGUAAAGUUAAUACCUUUGCUCAUUGACGUUACCCGCAGAAGAAGCACCGGCUAACUCCGUG